ACUGGCACCAGCAUCCUUACAAGUGGAACAACACCUUUAUUCAAAGUUCACCAGUCAGCAGUGAUCGUGUCUUCCACAUGGAGGGCAGGGUGAGCAAAAAUACGCCAAGGAAAUUCAGAGCCGGAGCAGGAGUUUAAUUCAGUGGGGAAGAAAAGAUGGAGCCUUGUCAAAGGGGAACACUUCCUUUAAAAUCCAGAGUAAUCCAGGACCCAACUGCAGUUGCCUUUCCAAGUCAGUGCAACAACCUUCAUGCUAAUACGGCGAAACGUCACUCUGGAACUGAAGCCGUGGCAUUAGCAAGCAAAGAUUUCUCUCCCCUUCUUUCAGUACGCACACUUCAAACUUCCCUAAUUAUUGGUAUACUGGUGGUCAAUUUGGGACAAGGAGUUGCUGAGUAGUAUCUGCUAAGGGUAAACAAAAUGUCUUCAUUUGAGAUUGUCACGGCAAAAGGAAAUGUUAGGGAGAGCAGCAAAGGAAUGGUGUUCUGCAUUUGCUAGUAAGUAAACAAGUGGUUCGGGGUCUAUUUCUUGUCAGUUUUGGUGCAUCUUAUAUAUUCCUAGUCAAGCUGUUAAAGAGACAGAAUUCACAAUACACUUUCUUUUCUUGAAGUGCUGAAUAGAAUUGCCCUGAAAUCCCUAACAAAUGAGUUGACUUGGUGAUCAGCUACUCAACUAAAUUCUUCCAGUACAAACAGUAAAUGUAUUACUGCUUCUAUUAUAUGCUUCCAACUAGCUUUAAAAUUCCACGGUCAAACUCUGGUCCUGAUGAGGGAGAUACAGUUGUUCUCAAUUCAUAAAAUGAAUUAUUUUUCCUUAGAACCUAGCAUUUAAUUAUCUUUGUUCUGAACUAAAAUUAUAUUGGCUUUUCCUAAAUUUGCUCUUUUAAAAACAGAAAUUUGAAAUAAAAUGGUUCUUUUUAAGAACAGAAAACAUAUUUACAGGUCUUCACAGUUCUGGGUCACAAUAUCUAAGUGGUUUGUACUUUAAAACAUCCCACUGGGCAGUGCUUCUUACAGUUUUGACUCUUUUUGUCUAUUUAAUUAUGAACCAAGCUUGCUUCUUGAGUGUUCAGCAGCACUCAAAUUGUUAGUCUCAUUACAGUAUUUUAAUCCACCAGCCCCAGUCUGUGGCAUCAGGUAUUGAUUAUAAUUCAACUUUGAAAUAAAUGCUACAUCUUCAGGUGGCUUUCCUUUGUCAUGUUUGUAUUAAAAAAGAAGCUAAUAAUAAACUCUAUUUUAAUUAAGU
rnacentral:lncRNA from 1 species